UGAAAGCGUGAGGUGAGGCGUGUGAAGUGACUGUCGGGUCUCUUCUGCGAGAGGUGCAGGAGUCUGGCUGCUUACAGUAAUUAUGGCGCUUAGACAGGCAGCGACGCUGCACGUUUUUCAGCGUGGAGAAUGCAAUGUAGGAACGAGGCCAAGCGCAGAGAUGCGGGUGUGGAAGUAGAAAGCAGGAAAAAGAAGGUGAUCAAAGGAGGACGUGUCGUAUAUUUAAAAAAACACAACAACAACAACAGAGGAACGGGUGAGAGGUGAAAUGGCGAUGAGGAAAGAAGUAGACUACGAGACGAGGAGAGAUGGAGUAGCUCUCCGCUUGAGCAAGCGAUGCCCCGUUGCCAUGGCAGCACCGUCUCUCUGGUCUCCGUGGGAACGGCUGAAUCCUGUUGCAGCUCGACUUUGCCCCUGGUGGGAAGCCCUGGAAUUAUCUGCCUGUUUCAAUCGAGUCCAGCCAGAUUCGUCCUCUUCUGUGCUAAUUCCAUACAUUCCAUCCUCGCAAUGCGCCCAAAACAACACAAAGUUGUGUUUCUCUGUGAGGUUUGUGGACCCCGGCCAGUUGGACGUAAACGCAGCACACCCUGAACAUUCCACAGGACGGACGAGGCCUGGGAAGAUGGGGAGAUCAGCUAGAAAUUCAUGUCUCCUUCUUUAAACUCAACUUGGAGGAUUUGUUAGUGAAUUUUAUUGGACAAAUAGAGUUUGCUGCAGCUUAGAGUCUUGCAAAUUGAUCUCUCUCUCUCUCUCUCUCUCUCUUUCACACUCUCUCUCUCUCUCUACCUUGUCUGAAUUUCCUCAGCCUUGACUUACACUCGCGGAGUCUCUUCCCUCCGGCUUUGAAAAACACAUUCCACUUUAACGUAGCAGCCGCUCGCAAGGUCAUUUGUCACUCGAUAAUGACAAAGCGAACCCAAAGGCAUUCUACUGUCAAGCGUGCGCGCGUGAGCGUGCACGUGAAGGAAGUCUGGGAGGUGAGGAGAGUGGCGGCGUCCUUGGGAGCUCAUAGACUUGUUUGAAGUUUGAAGAUCAAGAUAGUCCUAUCGCUAUCUGUGUGUGUGUGUGUGUGUGUGUGUGUGUGUGUGUGUGUGUGUGUGUGUGUGUGUGUGUGUGUGUGUGUGUGUGUGAUUGGAACGGAAGGAAAUGCUGGUAUGUUAAAGAAAAAGUAAUGCACACACACAUUUUUGACAUAUUGUGAUGAAAAAAAUGAGAUAUUCAUCUCCUUUUCUCUUAUUUAUUCCUCCCAUGAAUGCAUAUCCAGAACUUACAGACUCGGAAUAAGUAUGUCCUCUGGUCACAAACGUGUCGCGCGUCACAUUCACUAGUCGGGCUUAUCCUGGAUAAAAUCAAGCUGUCGUGUUGUUUUAUCAGUCUUUCGGUGCAGAUCAACGUGCCGUUUCUUGACAACUUACGUAAAAACGCUGAGGAGAGAGAUGCAUCUAUUUAGAGCCCAGCGCUCCAGCCUUAAAAGUCCGUUCCUCUGGGCCGCCCGCGUUGCAAAGCCGUGUGUGAAUUUGUGUAGGUGGGUGUUUGUGUAUGAUUUCGACGGGGCCUGUGAAAACAGUCAUGUACCAAUAUGCGGCGUGUUGAUGCAAACAUUGCUCGGCGCGUAUGAGCUCGUGUGGUGAUCCCUGCCGGACCUAUUGCUGGUUAGAGGC
rnacentral:lncRNA from 1 species